rnacentral:rRNA from 1 species
CCUACGGGAGGCAGCAGUGAGGAAUAUUGCUCAAUGGGCGCAAGCCUGAACCAGCCAAGCCGCGUGAAGGAUGACUGCCUUACGUUUUGUACACUUUUUGUAUAAAGGAAUAAAGUGAGGCACGUGAGACUUUUUGAAUGUACUUUAUGAAUAAGGAGCGGCUAACACCGUGCGAGCAGCAGCGGUAAUACGGAGGAUCCGAGCGUUAUCCGGAUUUAGUGGGUUUAAAGGGAGCGUAGAUGGGUUAGUAAGUCAGUUGUGAAAGUUUGCGGCUUAACCGUAGAAUUGCAAUUGAUACUGGUAUUCUUGAGUACAGUUGAGGUAGGUGGAAUUCGUGGUGUAGCGGUGAAAUGCUUAGAUAGCACGAGGAACUCUGAUUGCGAAGGCAACCUACUAAACUGCCACUGACAUUGAUGCUCGAAAGUGUGGGUAUCAAACAGGAUUAGAUACCCCUGUAGUC